UCAGAUGUGGUGUAAGGUACACACACUUGCUUUCAUUAUAUGCAUUAUACGAGAUCAAGAUCAGCGAGCGUCCGGGGUUCGAUUCCUCGCGUCUGAA